CUCCGGAGCGGAUUUCGGGUGACGUCAUUUCCGGCGACUCUCCGGCGCUUCCUGCGUGACUCGUUGGUUCCGGCGAGCGGCGAGCGAGGGUUAAUUAGGAUGGCUGAGGACAUCCAGGCCAGGCUGGGGUGCUAAUUAAGCUCUGUAAUUAUGUUAAUUAGGUUAAUUAGCGUGGCUGAGGACAUCCAGGCCAGGCUGGGGUGCUAAUUAAGGUGUGUAAUUAUGUUAAUUAGGUUAAUUAGGAUGGCUGAUGGCAUCCAGGCCAGGCUGG